rnacentral:rRNA from 1 species
UGGGGAAUUUUGGACAAUGGGCGCAAGCCUGAUCCAGCCAUGCCGCGUGAGUGAAGAAGGCCUUCGGGUUGUAAAGCUCUUUCGGCGGGGAAGAAAUUGCACUGGCUAAUACCUGGUGUAGAUGACGGUACCCGCAUAAGAAGCACCGGCUAACUACGUGCCAGCAGCCGCGGUAAUACGUAGGGUGCGAGCGUUAAUCGGAAUUACUGGGCGUAAAGCGUGCGCAGGUGGUUGUGUAAGUCAGAGGUGAAAUCCCCGGGCUCAACCUGGGAACUGCAUUUGAGACUGCACUGCUAGAGGAUGGCAGAGGGGGGUAGAAUUCCACGUGUAGCAGUGAAAUGCGUAGAGAUGUGGAGGAAUACCGAUGGCGAAGGCAGCCCCCUGGGCUAUUUCUGACACUCAUGCACGAAAGCGUGGGGAGCAAACA